AUGGGGGUGAGAUAACCAAAAAGUACUUAUUUGUCUAAUAACUAUUAGUUCUCAACUAACUCAACCAACUACUAGUAGUUAUUUCUGAGGCUUACUACUACAAAUUCCUGACCGAUAUGUGAAUUCGAAAGAAAAUUUAUCUGAUUUUCUACAAUUCUAAAUAACCGGGCAGGUUCGUGAAAUUUGAGACUAGUUAUACAUUAAAAUAAGAAUAUAAUAAAGUUUAGGUGCGCUGUUAACAACAUCUUAAUUGCAAGCCAAAAUACUCCUCCUUCCUCAAAAUUCUUAACUGGCUAACCAACAAACUAUAUUUGGCGAAAGUUAAGAACGAAUUUCAAAAAUAUAAUUUGCAAGGAUCAUAGCGAAACAACAGCAACUGGAACUAGAAACUGAGUCUCGUCUCGUGAAUGAGAUUUGUAUUGGUUGUCGAUGUGAAAGUUAUAAAAUCCUUUCAAUAUAGGAUGGUAUUUUAAAAAAAUUUAUUUAUGGUAUUUAAUUACUAUUUGAAUAUAACAUAUAUAAUAAUAAUAAAAAUAAGUUCAUAUAAUGUAAACUUUCCCGACAUGCAAUAUGUUAUAUUCUUAUAAAACCACCGUCGCUCGCAUCUCUUCCUUUCCUCUCUGCUUUCUCUUCUUCAUUUCUUUUCUCCAUUUUUUUUCUCUCCUCUCAUUUCCUUUCCUUUCCUUCUCUUCUCUAUUUUGCUUCUUUUACUUAACUUGAUACAUUUUGAUCUUAUUUGAUCGACUUAACGGUCGAAGUGAUGAUAUCCGUCUCCCGAGUCUGUUUUAGACACUGAGGGGAAGUUUAAUGGAAAUGAUGUAGUUUAGAAUGGAUAAGCUAACCUCUCAGGAAUGUUGCUUCCCUUUUUGGUUGAGGCAUGCCUGUUGGGAAUGAGCUGAAUAUAAUUCUGAUCCUCACAAACUUCCUCCUUAUUUCUAAAACUCGGCACCUGUUCUAGUUGAAGAGUUUAGUAUUAGACCCCAUCUCCAUACAGCCAUUACCAAAUGCUAUGACCAGCAACAACAGACUGAUCUUGCAUUUCCUCAAAGCAUUUCAGUUCUCCAGUUAAAUGUUAAAUACAGGACAUUAUAAGCCAUUCUUGGGAACAACCAACACUUUCGCAAACUGAUAAGAUUGAUGUAGCUGAUAACCAACCAGAAUACUGACAGCGAAAAAAUGUGAACUAGGAAAGAUCUGGUUCAAAUACUUGCAACAAAGGAAAUUCUUAUAAAGUUACCCAAAGACCAACUUUUGAUCUUCAACUACUGCAGAUGUUUCUACUUUUCAUUACCAGGUAGUUAAAAUGAAUGAAGGUAAAUUGAAAAGCUUAUUAAAAAGCACAAAGUCCAAUUUAUAACCUAACAAAGAGGCAGCAAAACUUGAACUGCAACUCUUGGUCAAAGAAGAUCUUAAUUCAAGCUACAUGGUGACCUCACUAGUGCUGGUGCCACAAAAAAAGCAUCCAGUACACAUUGUAAAGGGGUUGGUAUUAGGAAGAGCAUCCAGCCUAGAAACCAUAUCAAAGCAGACACUGAAGCACAAUGUAGCAUUUGGACCCAUCGGUGAAACUGUCAGUGUGGAACAUGAAUGUUAAAUAAUAAUGGUGAUGAUGCACUGUCUAACUUUUCAUACAUACCUCAUAUAGCUAACAUACUGUUGCUAAAAAUUCACUAAACUGCUUCUUCCCUAUUCCCAAGAAUCCUCUACAGUACUAACUGUAUUGUUGAAGAAGCAGAAAUGAUCAAUAAUAUCCAUUAUGUCAGUUGAAUAGACUUGGUCUUCAGCAAAACUUAAGUUCUAGUUCCCUGUCAGUUUAUCAUCCAGCCAUAGAAUUACAUCAAAACUAACAUUGGAACUCAACAUAAUCCUGCGGCUCAUUGGAUCUUGUCAAACCACUCAGCCCAUGCCAGCAAGGAAAACAGACAUUAAAUGAUUUUGAUGAUGAUGAUGAUGAAUACAAGCUUUCAGAACUAUUUCAUACAGGACAGAAAAGGAUUUUUUAAAUAAAAAUUAAUGAAUAAAAACAAAAGGAAAAACGUCUUCUGGAUGAAAUCAAGAUAACUUACAUG